rnacentral:rRNA from 1 species
UGGGGGAUAUUGCACAAUGGGCGAAAGCCUGAUGCAGCGACGCCGCGUGGGGGAUGAAGGCCUUCGGGUUGUAAACUUCUUUUGCUCUGAACAAGGCAUGCUAAUGGGUGUGUUGAGUGUAGGGGUUGAUUAGCGCCGGCUAACUACGUGCCAGCAGCCGCGGUAAUACGUAGGGCGCGAGCGUUGUCCGGAAUUAUUGGGCGUAAAGGGCUUGUAGGUGGCUGGUUGCGUCUGUCGUGAAAGCUCAUGGCUUAACUGUGGGUUUGCGGUGGGUACGGGCUGGCUUGAGUGCAGUAGGGGGGGCUGGAAUUCCUGGGGUAGCGGUGGAAUGCGCAGAUAUCAAGAGGAAUACCGGUGGCGAAGGCGGGUCGCUGGGCUGUUACUGACACUGAGGAGCGAAAGCAUGGGGAGCGAACAGG